rnacentral:tRNA from 1 species
GGACGAGUAGCGAAGCGGCUAAACGCAGCUGACUGUAAAUCAGCCAUCUUUCGGUUUCAGUGGUUCGAAUCCACUCUCGUCCACCA